AUUGAACGCUGGCGGCAUGCUUUACACAUGCAAGUCGAACGGGCUGGGGGCAACUCCAGUCAGUGGCGAACGGGUGAGUAAUACAUCGGAACGUACCUCGUAGUGGGGGAUAACUCGGCGAAAGCCGUGCUAAUACCGCAUAUGCUCUACGGAGGAAAGCAGGGGACCGUAACAGGCCUUGUGCUAUGGGAGCGGCCGAUGUCCGAUUAGCCAGUUGGUGGGGUAAUGGCUCACCAAGGCGACGAUCGGUAGCUGGUCUGAGAGGAUGAUCAGCCACACUGGGACUGAGACACGGCCCAGACUCCUACGGGAGGCAGCAGUGGGGAAUUUUGGACAAUGGGGGCAACCCUGAUCCAGCCAUGCCGCGUGCGGGAAGAAGGCCUGGUGUAACG
rnacentral:rRNA from 1 species